GCGGUGGCGGCGUGCUUACACAUGCAGUCGAACGCUGAAGCACCAGCUUGCUGGUGUGGAUGAGUGGCGAACGGGUGAGUAAUACGUGAGUAACCUGCCCUUGACUCUGGGAUAAGCCCGGGAAACUGGGUCUAAUACUGGAUGCUACAUGUCACCGCAUGGUGGUGUGUGGAAAGGGUUUACUGGUCUUGGAUGGGCUCACGGCCUAUCAGCUUGUUGGUGAGGUAAUGGCUUACCAAGGCGACGACGGGUAGCCGGCCUGAGAGGGUGACCGGCCACACUGGGACUGAGACACGGCCCAGACUCCUACGGGAGGCAGCAGUGGGGAAUAUUGCACAAUGGGCGAAAGCCUGAUGCAGCGACGCCGCGUGAGGGAUGACGGCCUUCGGGUUGUAAACCUCUUUCAGCAGGGAAGAAGCCACAAGUGACGGUACCUGCAGAAGAAGCGCCGGCUAACUACGUGCCAGCAGCCGCGGUAAUACGUAGGGCGCAAGCGUUGUCCGGAAUUAUUGGGCGUAAAGAGCUCGUAGGCGGUUUGUCGCGUCUGCUGUGAAAGCCCGGGGCUUAACCCCGGGUGUGCAGUGGGUACGGGCAGACUAGAGUGCAGUAGGGGAGACUGGAAUUCCUGGUGUAGCGGUGGAAUGCGCAGAUAUCAGGAGGAACACCGAUGGCGAAGGCAGGUCUCUGGGCUGUUACUGACGCUGAGGAGCGAAAGCAUGGGGAGCGAACAGGAUUAGAUACCCUGGUAGUCCAUGCCGUAAACGUUGGGCACUAGGUGUGGGGGACAUUCCACGUUUUCCGCGCCGUAGCUAACGCAUUAAGUGCCCCGCCUGGGGGAGUACGGCCGCAAGGCUAAAACUCAAAGGAAUUGACGGGGGCCCGCACAAGCGGCGGAGCAUGCGGAUUAAUUCGAUGCAACGCGAAGAACCUUACCAAGGCUUGACAUAUACCGGAUCGUUCCAGAGAUGGGUUCUUCCCCUUUGGGGUCGGUAUACAGGUGGGUGCAUGGAUUGUCGUCAGCUCGUGUCGUGAGAUGUUGGGUUAAGUCCCGCAACGAGCGCAACCCCUCGUUCCAUGUUGCCAGCACGUGAUGGUGGGGGACUCAUGGGAGACUGCCGGGGUUCAACUCGAGAAGGUGGGGAUGACGUCAAUCAUCAUGCCCCUUAUGUUCUUGGGCUUUCACGGCAUGCCUACAAUGCGGUUAACAAAUGGCUGCCGAAUACUGUGCAGGGUGAAGCUUAUUCCUAAAGGCGUCCUCAGCUUCCGGAAUUGUAGC
rnacentral:rRNA from 1 species